rnacentral:rRNA from 1 species
UACAGAGGGUGCGAGCGUUGUCCGGAAUCACUGGGCGUAAAGGGCGCGUAGGUGGCCUGAUAAGUAGGGGGGUGAAAUCUCGAGGCUCAACUUCGAGGCUGCCUCCUAAACUGUCAGGCUUGAGCAGAGUAGAGGCAGGUGGAAUUCCACGUGUAGCGGUGAAAUGCGUAGAGAUGUGGAGGAACACCAGUGGCGAAGGCGACGUUUCUGGGCGUGUAACUGACGCUGAGGCGCGAAAGCGUGGGGGAGCAAACAGG